GGGGCUGAUUCUGGAUUCGACGGGAUUUGCGAAACCCAAGGUGCAUGCCGAGGGGCGGUUGGCCUCGUAAAAAGCCGCAAAAAAUAGUCGCAAACGACGAAAACUACGCUUUAGCAGCUUAAUAACCUGCUUAGAGCCCUCUCUCCCUAGCCUCCGCUCUUAGGACGGGGAUCAAGAGAGGUCAAACCCAAAAGAGAUCGCGUGGAAGCCCUGCCUGGGGUUGAAGCGUUAAAACUUAAUCAGGCUAGUUUGUUAGUGGCGUGUCCGUCCGCAGCUGGCAAGCGAAUGUAAAGACUGACUAAGCAUGUAGUACCGAGGACGUAGGAAUUUCGGAC
rnacentral:tmRNA from 1 species